rnacentral:lncRNA from 1 species
UCGUCUCGCCCCCCUUGCACAACAACUCCUAUGUGGCUUUGCCCGACCUAGACACCGAGCCGGCCAGCCGCCUCGCCGUCGUGGCUUCGCCGUUGGCCGGCCGGAGCCCAGAGUUCAGCCGCCUAGGAGGCUCCCUCCUUCCCUUCCCAUCUUCCUGCUCGGCCGCCCGCCCGGUCCGCGCCCCUGCCCUGCGCGCGGCUGCGCCCCUGCAGUCCUGGCGUCCCGCCUCCCUUUCCCGGCGUCCCGUCGGCCCGGCCGCCCCCUUGCAAAUCCCCACCACGACGGCAAACCCCUGACCGAUUUAAGGUACCCAAAUGCCUCAAUUUCAGACUUAGGGUUUUUUUUGCCCCAAUUUCAUGUACAAUGAACCGAUGAACACAUCCAUAAUGACGUAAAGGACUUUGCUUACUUCAGUCUCUAUAUUCAGAAAUGAUGUAAAAUUAUAGCUUGCUUGAAUGAAGCCACAAAGGCUCGGAUUUUGCCUCAAUUAUUUCAGUAUAGCUGUCUCGAAUGAAGCCAACUAUCAUUUCUGCCUCAACUACUUUCAUUUUACACAUAAUACCUCAAUUUACUUUUGUAUUGUGUAAUGAUAGAAAGGCAUUUUUAUUACAAAAUUAUUGAAGAACGAUGAGGGCCGGAGACAUUGUUUCUCUUUUCCAGAGAGAAACUAUUAAGAUAGGGAAGAAGAAGAAGGCAGGGAAUAUGCCGGAUGUGGCUGAAGAGCAAACCAGAGAACUUGUGUGUAUGCGGUUGUGAUUGAAGAGCAAACUCAUGAACCAAUAGUGUUUAUGUCGAAUGUGACCAUAGAGCAAAAGCAUAGGCCAGAAACAUAGUCUUUUUGAACUUCUCAAGGUAUGUACUAUGGUCCAUGUAGUAUUUACUAUGUAGGCUUUUUAUGAAAAGCUAAGAUUUAAUUGAGAAUUUUAAUGUUUUCGUAACACCAUAUUGAUCUAUUUCUUUGUGAUAUCAAUAAUUAGUUAGAACGUUCAUAUGUCAUAUUGCUUAUCCAAAAAAGGACGGACCACCCUGGUCUCAAAUGCUAGCUCCGCCACUGGUUGUAGUGGUCGCAUAGUUAUUA